rnacentral:rRNA from 1 species
AUGGGCGCAAGCCUGACCCAGCAAUGCCGCGUGCAGGAAGAAGGCCUUCGGGUUGUAAACUGCUUUUGUACGGAGCGAAAAGGUUUCCUCUAAUACGGGGGACUGAUGACGGUACCGUAAGAAUAAGCACCGGCUAACUACGUGCCAGCAGCCGCGGUAAU